CAGCACUUGAUACUAACCGAGCUGUCUAUAUCCUAGCCUUGUGUCAAAGGCUUGUGAUAUGCUGUGGUAGCUGGGUUGAAGAAGUGCAAUAUUAAAAUAAAGCCAUGAGUCUUUUAAGCCCAGUGUGUAAAGAUACACUCUGAGUUAUAACUCAAAGGCACAACU
ensembl:scaRNA SCARNA1 small Cajal body-specific RNA 1